rnacentral:rRNA from 1 species
AGUUUUUAAUUGCCUAAAAAUUCUAUGUAGAUAGUAGUUUUAGCAAAGAUAAAUUUACAGUUGAAUUCAAAAGGGUUCAGGUAUUUUAUUAAGUUUACUUCUAAAAUUAAAAAUU